GGUGAACGCUGGCGGCGUGCCUAAUACAUGCAAGUCGAGCGAACAGACGAGGAGCUUGCUCCUCUGACGUUAGCGGCGGACGGGUGAGUAACACGUGGAUAACCUACCUAUAAGACUGGGAUAACUUCGGGAAACCGGAGCUAAUACCGGAUAAUAUAUUGAACCGCAUGGUUCAACAGUGAAAGACGGUUUUGCUGUCACUUAUAGAUGGAUCCGCGCCGCAUUAGCUAGUUGGUAAGGUAACGGCUUACCAAGGCGACGAUGCGUAGCCGACCUGAGAGGGUGAUCGGCCACACUGGAACUGAGACACGGUCCAGACUCCUACGGGAGGCAGCAGUAGGGAAUCUUCCGCAAUGGGCGAAAGCCUGACGGAGCAACGCCGCGUGAGUGAUGAAGGUCUUCGGAUCGUAAAACUCUGUUAUUAGGGAAGAACAAAUGUGUAAGUAACUAUGCACGUCUUGACGGUACCUAAUCAGAAAGCCACGGCUAACUACGUG
rnacentral:rRNA from 1 species